UACGUAGGAUGCAAGCGUUGUCCGGAAUUAUUGGGCGUAAAGAGCGCGCAGGCGGUAACUCAAGUCAGAUGUGAAAUAUCCGGGCUUAACCCGGAGGGGUCAUUUGAAACUGAGUAACUAGAGUACAGCAGAGGAUAGCGGAAUUCCCGGUGUAGUGGUGAAAUGCGUAGAUAUCGGGAGGAACACCAGUGGCGAAGGCGGCUUUCUGGGCCCUACCUGACGCUGAGGAGCGAAAGCAUGGGGAGCGAACAGG
rnacentral:rRNA from 1 species